AUUGAACGCUGGCGGCAUGCCUUACACAUGCAAGUCGAACGGCAGCACGGGAGCAAUCCUGGUGGCGAGUGGCGAACGGGUGAGUAAUACAUCGGAACGUGCCCAGUAGUGGGGGAUAGCCCGGCGAAAGCCGGAUUAACACCGCAUACGACCUGAGGGUGAAAGCGGGGGAUCGCAAGACCUCGCGCUAUUGGAGCGGCCGAUGUCGGAUUAGCUAGGUGGUGGGGUAAAGGCUCACCAAGGCAACGAUCCGUAGCUGGUCUGAGAGGACGACCAGCCACACUGGGACUGAGACACGGCCCAGACUCCUACGGGAGGCAGCAGUGGGGAAUUUUGGACAAUGGGCGCAAGCCUGAUCCAGCCAUGCCGCGUGCGGGAAGAAGGCCUUCGGGUUGUAAACCGCUUUUGUCAGGGAAGAAACGCUCUGGGCUAAUACCCCGGGGUAAUGACGGUACCUGAAGAAUAAGCACCGGCUAACUACGUGCCAGCAGCCGCCGUAACAC
rnacentral:rRNA from 1 species